CUACGGGUUGCACCAGUGAGGAAUUUUGCGCAAUGGGGGGAACCCUGACGCAGCAACGCCGCGUGAGUGAUGAAGGCUUUCGGGUCGUAAAGCUCUGUCAAGUGGGAAGAACCUAUGCAGUGUUAAUAUCACUGUAUACUGACGGUACCACUGAAGGAAGCACCGGCUAACUCCGUGCCAGCAGCCGCGGUAAUACGGGGGGUGCAAGCGUUAUUGGGAAUCAUUGGGCGUAAAGGGCACGUAGGCGGCUUGGUAAGUCAGAUGUGAAAGCCCGGGGCUUAACCCCGGAAGUGCAUUUGAUACUGUCAGGCUUGAGUAUGGGAGAGGGAAGUGGAAUUCCUGGUGUAGAGGUGAAAUUCGUAGAUAUCAGGAGGAACACCGGUGGCGAAGGCGACUUCCUGGACCAAUACUGACGCUGAGGUGCGAAGGCGUGGGUAGCAAACAGGAUUAGAUACCCUUGUAGUC
rnacentral:rRNA from 1 species